rnacentral:lncRNA from 1 species
AUGGCAGAGAAAAAAAGAUUCCUGCAGAUCAAGGAAAACCAUUUGGUUCUGGCGUCUCUUGGCCUGUCCUUUGUGGCUCCAGCAUUCAUGAGGAGAGAGAAGCCCGGCCAGGUGAGAGUCUGCUCACCUGACGAGACAGACUCUGAGGAGGAGCAGCUCUGGUCCUCUGGAUUGACCGGUGCUCGAGUGUGGAAGCCACCAACAGUCAGACAGGGGUCUCUACAACAGCCCAGUACGUCAGAUGCAGUGUCUGUACAGAGUCUCUCAGGGCGGGGCUGGAGUGACCAGGAGGUCUCUGGAGGGCCCACUCCUUCUCAUCCAGAGAUCGACCCCCCCGGAGGAGGAGUAGAGAGGGGCUCUGCUGUCCAGGAGGAGGUCUCCUUGGUUCUCCAUGAACAUUUGCAGGGCUCAAGUGUUUAUUCAAGAGAGAUGAACCUGAGAAAUGUUCUCAGAGUUAACUACCAAGAACCGGAAGUACCUAAGGAUGACGACUACUUCUGUAAGAUCUCUCUCUCUCUCUCUCUCGCUCGCUCACUCACUCACUCACUCACUCACUCACUCACUCACUCACUCACUCACUCACUCACUCACUCACUCACUCACUCACUCACUCACUCACUCACUCACUCACUCACUCACUCACUCACUCACUCACUCACUCACUCACUCACUCACUCACUCACUCACUCACUCACUCACUCACUCACACAAACCAAUUUUUAAUCUUCCUGUUUCUGUCUAUUUAAUAUAGAUUUGUAGCUGAAGCUCUUUUGGACGUAAUAAAUAAAUGAACUCUCUCCAGUCUGUGAUGAGUGUAGGACUUUCUUCCUCGAAGAGUGCCAGG